UGCACCUGCCUCCCCCUGCCCUCCUCUGGCUCCUCCUGCCUCCCCCUGCCUUCCCCUGCUUACCCUGUCUCCCCCUGCCCUCCCCUGCCUCUCUCUGCCCUCUGCUGCCUCUCCUGCCCUCCCUUAUCUCCCCCUGCCCUCCCCAUCUUCCCCUCCUCUACCCUACCUCCUCCUGUCCUCCCAUGCCCUGGGUACUCAGGAAAAAAAUUCUGUCCCCAGUAGAUCCUGGGAUUGAGUGUGUCUAGUCACAUACCUGCAGGAGCCCUGCUCCCACACCCCUCCUGGUACCCCCACUAGGCAGGACCAGCCCUCCCAGCGGCCCCCACCCGUGGUCUCUGUCUCUGUCUUCACCCACCUACCCUCUGUAGCCUUUCCAAGCCCAGGAGGCUCUGCCUGUUUCUACUAGGCAGUUUCAGUGACCCAGACUGCAUCUCCACUUCCAGGGUCCCCCCCCCCCGCCCCCCGUCAAAGGUUUUGGCUUUGUCCUGUUGUCUACGGAAGGAAGGGGAAAGAGAAGACAGAAUACACCCAAACAGAAAAGGACCUUAGGAAAGUCAGGAAACAAAAAAGGGAAGCACAGGGGACAAAGGAUUCACGGAACAAAGGAUGGGGACCUAGAAACCAACACACACAUAGAGACUCUAGGAAGCAUGGGAAGGGAAACCUUGAAACCAUUGUAUAUGUGUUUGGCAUAGUUAAUGAGGUCAUGAGACCUAACUGUUGUGCCCAAAAGAUCUGUAAUAGGUACUAUCACAUACUUCAAGCAGUCCCCAAGGGAAACCUAGAAAUUGUCAUAUGCACAGAGAACCGUGGAAAAUGAGGUGAGGCAGAUCUAGACACUACCAGCUACCAAGCAAACUGUGAACAAUAGAAAGGGAGGCCUAGAAACUGUCACAUGCCUAGCAGGGAUUGAGCAAUGGGAAGAGAGACCCAGAAACUUACAAUUUACACACUCAAAAAUCUUAUGAUGCACGUGAGGUCCCGGGAACCUUCAAGAUCAGUGGAGAUAACUAAUGAACAGAUUUGGGGCCCAAGAGUCUACUCUGCUAAAGACGCAUGAGCCUAGAACGAAUCAUGCCCUGAUGCACAACCUGGCAGCCACUGCCGGCACGGGAGACAUUUGGAAAAUAGGCAGGGUCGAGUAAGCCAGCCUGGGUACUCUUUAGGAGGUGUCAUUGCGCCUUCCUGUCGUUCCUGAGGGUGUGGCGUCUUCUCUGUUUGUGGUCAUGGAGUCAGUGAUGGAUACAGCCGUGUAGUCCUCAUCCUGCACGAGCUUGCCUCCGUGUAGCCCAUGACUUGUGGGGGCCCUGCUACCUCUCCAAGAUGCUUGCUUCCCCCCUCUCCACCCUCACUCUCCCAUGUGAGCAACCUCUGCCUCCCGUCACUCUCCCAGAGACCCUGGGUGAGAAAACGGGCUUUUUUCACCCAUCCCGGAAGAUACGGGGAAAAUCCAGGUCACAGCAGAGCCAGGCUGAGCUAUCUCUGCAUGGGAACCUUGGGCCACCCCAGGUGAGACCUUGAACCUAGGACCACCUAUGGGAAGAAUUCCAAGAGGUAGCAGGACCCCUACCUGCCCGCCUUCCUUCUUUUACCCUCUGCACUUCCUUUGCUUGCUGCCUGGGAGAGGCUUUGCUGGGCUGCAGAUGCAUGAGGCUUCUGGGCUGAGGGACCAGCUCUGUUGGAGGGAGGUAGGGAUUCUAGUACAGUGGAAAUAGCCUGUGGACACUCUACAGAUACACUGCACCUACCAGCGCCCCCUAGGGGUAGUGCAGCUUUCUGAACUGCCUGCCAAGUUUAGCUGUGACUCAGCAGUGUCACCAGGUGGUCACAGUCGUGUACUGCAAGAGCUGAGUGACUGGCCUGAGUUACUCUACCUAGUUAAGAGGGAAGCCCUUGUUCAGACAGGGAGGGAAACUGAGGCCCGGCUCUUCAGAGCAAACUGAUGGCAAACUGGAGCCAGAACUGAAACAGGCUGAGACAUCCAAAUCUCCCGAGGGGGCCUGGGAACCCACUGCUUCCCGAAACUUCUCUUCUGUAUGCCAAGCUCAGGGCUGGGCAACGCAAAACGAUACUUUGCAGAUUCUGUCCCCAGGAGAAGUCACCAUGAGCCGGGGUCACCAGUCACAGGACAAAAGGAAUUCAGCUGUGUUUGGGACUAUAGUGUAUUGGCGAUGAAGGGAACAUAACCAGUCACAGGGUAGCUGAGAAGUAGGGGCAGUCUGUACAAAGGGCCUGGGGUCAGAGUGAGCCUGGGAUGUCUGCAGAGUGGCAGUUUGACAGGCAGCAAGUGACAGAGGCUAGAGGCUUUCCAAAACUAGGAGGCCACAUUAAAGAAUUCAAACCUUGGUGGCCACUGGGACAUUGUUUUAGUAUUUCUGAACGGGGACCCAGGCAUGGUGGCUCACAUUUGUAAUCCCAGCAUUCAGAUGACUGAGGCAGGAGGAUGGCUACAAGGUGAACCUGGGCUACAGAGUGAGAUACUCAAGGAUCUCAAAAAAAAUCAUUUUUUAAAAAAAAAAUUAAAGAAUGAGAGGGAAUGGUAUGGUCAGGUUUUUGUUUGCAAAGUAUGUCUCUGGAUGCCGGGUAGAGAAUGACUGGAGCCAGAAAAGGACUCAAGAAGGCUGUGGGAAGCCUGUUCAGAGACCAGUGGGAGCAUGGACAGGCAGGAAGGCAGUGUGUGUGUGUGUGUGUGUUGUGCCUGUGUGUAUGCAAGUGUGUGGUUGUAAGCUGGGCAGUUGUGGUGCACACCUUUAAUCCUAGCACUUGGGACACAGAGGCAGGAGGUGGAUCUCAGUGAGUUCGAGGCCAGCCUGUUCUACAAGUGAGUUCCAGGACAGCCAGGACUGUUACACAGAGAAACUUUGUCUCAAAAAACAAAUAAAAAAAGUGUGUGGUUUUGUGCAGUGUGUGUUGUCCCAGUGUAUAUACAAAUGCGUGCAGUGUGUGUGUGUUGUGUCAGUGUGUAUACGUGUGUGAUUGUGUUGCAGUGUUUGUGUUGUGCCUGUGUGUAUACAAGUGUGUGGUUGUGUGUGUUUGUUUGUGUUGUGCCUGUGUGUAUACAAGUGUGUGAUUGUGUGCACAUGUAUCAUUCUCUGCCCUAUUCCCUUGUGAAUGGACCUGGGAGCUCACUAUUUUUCAGCGAGGCUAGCAGCCAGCAACCUCCCUUUCUCUGUACCUGCCCAGCACUGGGGUUAUGGGCAUUGGGUGGCUUUUUACAUGAAUUCUGGGGCUCUAAUUCAGGUCCUCGCUAUUGGGGAGUGCUCUUACCUUUGAACCAUCUCCCCAGCCCCAGGAUCAUCCAUUUUCGCAUCCUGCUCCAUGAUACCCAAAGAGGGAUUACUCUGCAUUUGUGACCUGUAGUGACCCCAGUACCCCAGGCUGGAAUGGCAGUUCAGUGACCCAUGAGUAGCUCAAUCUUUAUGAUAUUAACAGGACAGCUGGAGCAUAAGGAAUGCCCCAGGGAAUGAACAAGCUCCUAAUGGAUGUGUUGGGGGUUCUCUUAGUUGCUUCGAUGUUCUUAUGGGGAACCAUUGCUUCAAUGGGUUAGAUGGUGAGCCAGGUGUCGGGGCUCAUGUCUGGAGUUUCAGCUCAUGGAUGUUCGAAGCAGAACUGUUGUGAGUUUGAAGCUAACCUGGCCUACAGAGGGAUAUAUCUCAAAACAGAAGGGGAGGAGGGAGGAGGAACUGGAGAGAUAGCAAGCUCUGUGGGGAACAGAGUUUGAAUUCCCAGGAUUCACAUAAAUGCCAGGUGGGCUUGAAAGCCCACCCUUAAAUCCAAAGCUUAGAAGACAGAAGCAGGAUUACCAGAGCAAACUGUGGGUUCAGUUGAGAGAGCCUGCCUCAAUAAAUAGAUAGAAAAAACUCUGAUGUCCACUUCCAGCCUGCAGACACAUGCACAUGCAUGCAUGCACACAAAUGUGAGCAUCAGUGUACAAAUGCAUACACACAUCACAUAAAAAGGGGUGGAGAAGAUGGCUAACUGGGUAAGAGCACUCGCUGCACAAACAGAAGGACCUAAUCCCAAUCCCUAGCACUACACAGGAGUCAGGCAUGGCACAUAUGCCUGUAACCCUAGCAUAGUGAACUGGAAACAGGUAGAGCC